rnacentral:misc_RNA from 1 species
CGCACCUUGCACCUCUUGGUAUUCCGAGAGGUACAUCUGUUUGAGUGUCAUGAAUCCCUCAACCCCUACAUUUCCUUGUGAAUUGUAUCGGCGUUGGAUGCUGAACGCUGCUGUGUUCCACAGCUCGUUUCAAAUGUAUAAGCAAUUUCGGAUUGACUUGACGUGAUAAGAUAUUCGUCAAGGAUGCUUCUCAGCAGCCGGACUGUAACGAGUCGCUACCAAACCUGCACUUGUGCAACUUCUAAUUUUAGACCUCAAAUCAGAUGGGACUACCCGCUGAACUUAA